CCUACGGGAGGCAGCAGUGGGGGAUAUUGGUCAAUGGGGGAAACCCUGAACCAGCGACGCCGCGUGAGUGAAGAAGUAUUUCGGUAUGUAAAGCUCUAUCAGCAGGGAAGAAAGAAUUGACGGUACCUGCAAAGGAAGCACCGGCUAACUCCGUGCCAGCAGCCGCGGUAAUACGGAGGGUGCGAUAGUUAAUCGGAAUUACUGGGCGUAAAGCUCUCGUAGGCGGUAUGUCAAGUCAAGGGGGAAAUCCCCGCGCUCAACGUGGGAACUGCCUUUGAAACUGGCAAACUUGAGUGUGUGAGAGGAUAGGGGAAUGCGAGGUGUAGCAGUGAAAUCCGUAGAUAUCUGGAGGAACAUCGGUGGCGAAGGCGACUAGCUGGCACAUAACUGACGCUGAGGAGCGAAAGCGUGGGUAGCAAACAGGAUUAGAUACCCCAGUAGUC
rnacentral:rRNA from 1 species